CUGAUACCUUUACCCUUUAAAGUGAGAAGGGUUUGCUUAAGGGGUACGUCAUUUUGUUGACUUCAGUAAGCAGGCUGUGGACUCCUGACUGUUGUAUGGAGUUUAGAUGAACAUGCUGAUGUCUUUCAUACUCUUUUCAUUUCUGACCAACAGACCCUUAUAGUAAUUUGCUGAGGGAUGGUGAGGCAAAUAACCAUCAGGAUAGACGAAAGGAGGAACAUGCUCUGUGACCUGCACAGUUUCAGUCCUCACAUGUGGUUCAUGGACGCUGAGGAGCAGAAGUGGUCUCACGACUCUGGAAUAUAGUGUGGCCAGGUGCAUAUGGGCAUGUUCUUUGACAGUGAACUCCAUGUAUGGUUGCAGCUGAACUUUCUACAGGCUGUAAAUGAACAUUAUUAUGACUUACUUUGAGUCUCAAGGCACAGGAAGUACGGCAAUUCAUCCUAUGUAAUCUUUUUGCUUUUGAGUGGUUGUUGCUAGCAGUUGUGGAGCUGUUCCCUGGCAGUUUUGUUGGUUAUGUAAUUAAGAACCGUUAAAAAUAUGUACUGCGAGAAGCAGUUCAUCUA